UACAGUUCCUGAAAGUAGGUUCGCUGUUGGUUAUGUAUUGUGAACUAUUUGUUUCCAGUUUUCCUAAUAGUGAAUUUAGCCUUGGUAUCUCCUUUUGAUGUGUUGACUAACACAUUCACUCCGUGGGUUAGCUAGCAGAGCCUCUUUUCCUUCUACAUGAUAGUGUUGAUUUCUCUGAACAGUGAACAAUGGUUGGACAUAGAUUAGUCAUAACAAGCAGAAGUAUGGCUGCAAUUGUCCAUGAAGCACUCCAGCUCCUGUCACCUUGUUGAAGUGCCUGCACAAGAUCUGGACAUGCUCUCAUAUUGCCCCAGGUUAUACUGAUGGGUCAUCGUGGAGAUUAUGACUAGGCUGCUGAUGGGCAACUUCAUCGUGAACAAAGACUCUGGGACGGGGAAAUUUAGGGGACUGCUCUAGGUGUUGAUUCUGCAAGACAGCAAGCCACCUUAGUGCCAGUCACUUGCUAUGUAUUGCGAACUGUGCGGUUAAGAAAAUGUAUGGCUCCGACAGGCGACAGUUCCCUUGGGAAUUAGUAUUCUGCAGACUGCAUGUAUUGCUCCUCUAGGUUAAGAAAUUUGUGCUACUACUCUGUUGCCAAUGGAGGCAUAGAUUUAUCCUAGCUCGUUACUGUCAUCGGCA